rnacentral:rRNA from 1 species
UACGUAGGUGGCAAGCGUUAUCCGGAUUUAUUGGGCGUAAAGAGAACGCAGGCGGCUUUUCAAGUCAGGGGUGAAAUCCCACGGCCCAACCGUGGAACUGCCUUUGAAACUGUAGAGCUUGAGUGUCGGAGAGGGUGGCGGAAUUCCAGGUGUAGGAGUGAAAUCCGUAGAUAUCUGGAGGAACACCGGUGGCGAAGGCGGCCACCUGGACGACAACUGACGCUGAGGUGCGAAAGCGUGGGUAGCAAACAGG